rnacentral:ribozyme from 1 species
AUUGCAAGUUUGAGGCCACAGCAGAAGUGCUCAUAGUGAGGCCCUGUCAGAGUCCAAUGAAUCUGCAAAAUCUACU